rnacentral:rRNA from 1 species
AUUGAACGCUGGCGGCAGGCCUAACACAUGCAAGUCGAACGAGUGGCGGACGGGGGAGUAAUGUCUGUGAAACUGCCUGAUGGUGGGGGAUAACUACUGGAAACGUUAGCUAAUACCGCAUACAAUCGGAUCUGCCCCUAUGGGAUUAGCUAGUAGGUGGGGUAAAGGCGCACCUCGGCGAGGAUCCCUAGCUGGUCUGAGCGGAUGACCAGCCACACUGGAACGGAGACGCGGACCAGACGCCUACGAGAGGCAGCCAAGGCGAAUAUGUCGCAAUGGGCGCAAGCAUGAGGCAACCAUGGCAAGUGUAAUAAGAAGGCCUUCGGGUUGUAAAGAACGUUCAGCGGGGAGGCGUUACCCGCAGAAGAAGCACCGGCUAACUACGUGCCAGCAGCCGCGGUAAUAC